UAGUGUUUCUGAGAAUCACAUUAGACCUCCACAAAAUUGGAAACUCAACUUUUUUUUGUUAAUUUUGUCCAUUUUUUCAAGUUAUAACACUGAUAUUGAUGACCUUGUGUAGUGAUACAUACAUUACUGGGAUAAACAACAAUGAGUAUCAAAUAACAAGAGGAACAGUAAGUAAUUUUCAUGUUGGUGGAUAACAGAACUAUUUCUUCAUAUCUGCAUUGAUUUUGAAUACAUUCUAUUAUAGUGGAAUCUCCUAGUUAAAAUUCAACUAUCUUUCCUGUUCAUAACCACUAAAACAGUUAAGAGUUUUUUGCUUGUUUAUAUGCUUGGAGUGCUUUGGUUGCUCUGCAGGAACUGAACCGCAUUGCAGGAGUGGACAACAACUGCAACUAUGUGAAGGCUGACUUCAUGAAUAUGCCAUUUUUUGACAACAGUUUUGAUGCAAUAUUUGCAAUAGAAGCUACCUGUCAUGCACCAGAUGUGGUGGAUUGCUAUAAAGAGAUUUUCGGAGUGUUGAAGCCCGGCCAAUGUUUUGCUGCUUAUGAGUGGUGCAUCACUGAUUCUUUUGAUUCGAACAAUGAAGAGCACCAGAGAAUCAAGGGUGAGGUUGAGCUUGGUAAUGGACUUCCAGAUAUCAGGUCAAUGAAACAAUGUCUUGAAGCUCUGAAACUUGCACUCAAGUGGAUUCACAUUCACUAAUAUUGAAGAUGAACGAAUUUGGUAACCUGCAUAGCAAGAGUUUUUUGUUAAUAUUACCAGACACAUCCAUCACAGUGUAGUUGUACUUUUUGUUGAUAUUACCAAACAUGUAUUUUGACUAUGUUGUUGUGGGCUAUGAUUAUAUUGUGAUGGAUCUUAUCUUUUUGUUGAUAUUUUAUUGAAUAGAUUAAAAUGAACAGGUUUUUGUUGAUAUUACCAAAUGAACAGGUUUUUGUAAUGAUUUGUAAUGGAUAUUAUAUUCAGCAGGUUAUUAAAAUGCACAAGUUAUUUUGA